AUUUGUCUAUUGUGCUUUUGAUUGGCUACGUCCCCUGAGCCGAUAAAUAAACAACUAAGGAUAUGAGAUAGAUUGCUAUUGUGCAAGCCCACCUCGAAGUGGGAAGCCUGCGGUACUCUUCGAAUUUCCGCCUUGAGCCUUACUGGUUCAGGUUUUAAGCCAACACGGGACAAUAGGCACUAU
rnacentral:other from 2 species